rnacentral:rRNA from 1 species
GACGAACGCUGGCGGCGUGCUUAACACAUGCAAGUCGAACGAAGAGCGAUGGAAGCUUGCUUCUAUCAAUCUUAGUGGCGAACGGGUGAGUAACGCGUAAUCAACCUGCCCUUCAGAGGGGGAGAACAGUUGGAAACGACUGCUAAUACCGCAUACGAUCUAAUCUCGGCAUCGAGGAUAGAUGAAAGGUGGCCUCUACAUGUAAGCUAUCACUGAAGGAGGGGAUUGCGUCUGAUUAGCUAGUUGGAGGGGUAACGGCCCACCAAGGCGAUGAUCAGUAGCCGGUCUGAGAGGAUGAACGGCCACAUUGGGACUGAGACACGGCCCAGACUCCUACGGGAGGCAGCAGUGGGGAAUCUUCCGCAAUGGACGAAAGUCUGACGGAGCAACGCCGCGUGAGUGAUGACGGCCUUCGGGUUGUAAAGCUCUGUUAAUCGGGACGAAAGGCCUUCUUGCGAAUAGUGAGAAGGAUUGACGGUACCGGAAUAGAAAGCCACGGCUAACUACGUG